rnacentral:rRNA from 1 species
CCUACGGGAGGCAGCAGUGGGGAAUUUUCCGCAAUGGGCGAAAGCCUGACGGAGCAAUACCGCGUGAGGGAGGAAGGCUCUUGGGUUGUAAACCUCUUUUUUCAGGGAAGAUAAUGACGGUACCUGAGGAAUAAGCAUCGGCUAACUCCGUGCCAGCAGCCGCGGUAAUACGGAGGAUGCAAGCGUUAUCCGGAAUGAUUGGGCGUAAAGCGUCCGCAGGUGGUUUUAAAAGUCUGUUGUUAAAGCGUGAGGCUUAACCUCAUAAGGGCAAUGGAAACUGUAAGACUAGAGUACGUUCGGGGCAAGGGGAAUUCCCAGUGUAGCGGUGAAAUGCGUAGAGAUUGGGAAGAACACCGGUGGCGAAAGCGCCUUGCUAGGCCGUAACUGACACUGAGGGACGAAAGCUAGGGGAGCGAAUGGGAUUAGAUACCCCAGUAGUCCUAGCCGUAAACGAUGGAUACUAGGCGUUGUCUGUAUCGACCCGGACAGUGCCGUAGCUAACGCGUUAAGUAUCCCGCCUGGGGAGUACGCACGCAAGUGUGAAACUCAAAGGAAUUGACGGCUGAGAGNGCGAGCGACACGAGGGAGUAG